rnacentral:rRNA from 1 species
UACGUAGGGGCCUAGCGUUGUCCGGAUUUAUUGGGCGUAAAGAGCUCGUAGGCGGCACGGUUAGUCAGGUGUGAAAUCUCCACGCUCAACGUGGAGGGGUCACCUGAUACUGCCGAGCUUGAGUCCGGUAGGGGAGUGUGGAAUUCCCGGUGUAGCGGUGAAAUGCGUAGAUAUCGAGAGGAACACCUGCGGCGAAGGCGGCUCUCUGGGACGGUACUGACGCUGAGACGCGAAAGCGUGGGGAGCGAACAGG